AACGAACGCUGGCGGCAUGCCUAACACAUGCAAGUCGAACGAGACCUUCGGGUCUUGUGGCGCACGGGUUCGUAACGCGUGGGAACCUUCCCUUAUGGUCGGAAUAACUCCCCGAAAGGGGUGCUAAUACCGGAUCAUGUCUUCGGACCAAAGAUUUAUCGCCCUUGGAUGGUCCCGCGUUGGAUUAGCUAGUUGGUAGGGUAAAAGCCUACCAAGGCGACGAUCCAUAGCUGGUCUGAGAGGCUGAUCAGCCACACUGGGACUGAGACACGGCCCAGACUCCUACGGGAGGCAGCAGUGGGGAAUAUUGGACAAUGGGCGAAAGCCUGAUCCAGCAAUGCCGCGUGAGUGAUGAAGGCCUUAGGGUUGUAACGCUCUUUUACCCGGGAUGAUAAUGACAGUACCGGGAGAAUAAGCUCCGGCUAACUCCGUG
rnacentral:rRNA from 1 species